UACGGAGGAUGCGAGCGUUAUCCGGAUUUAUUGGGUUUAAAGGGUGCGUAGGCGGCCGAGUAAGUCAGCGGUGAAAUUUUGCAGCUUAACUGUAACAGUGCCGUUGAUACUGCAUGGCUAGGAUUUGGUUGCUGUGGGUGGAAUGUGUGGUGUAGCGGUUAAAUGCUUAGAUAUCACACAGAAUAUCAAUUGCGAAGGCAGCUCACAAAGCCAAGAUUGACGCUGAGGCACGAAAGUGUGGGGAUCAAACAGGA
rnacentral:rRNA from 1 species